rnacentral:rRNA from 1 species
AUUGAACGCUGGCGGCAGGCCUAACACAUGCAAGUCGAGCGGAUGAAGGGGGCUUGCUUCUGGAUUCAGCGGCGGACGGGUGAGUAAUGCCUAGGAAUCUGCCUUGUAGUGGGGGAUAACGCCCGGAAACGGGCGCUAAUACCGCAUACGUCCUGAGGUAGAAAGUGGGGGAUCUUCGGACCUCACGCUAUCAGAUGAGCCUAGGUAGGAUUAGCUGGUUGGUGGGGUAAAGGCCUACCAAGGCGACGACCCGUAACUGGUCUGAGAGGCUGAUCAGUCACACUGGAACUGAGACACGGUCCAGGCUCCUCCGGGAGGCAGCGGUGGGGAAUAUUGGACAAUGAGCAAAGGCCUGAUCAAACCGUGCCGCGUGUUUGAGGAAGGUCUUCGGAUUGUAAAGCACUUUAAGUUAGGAGAAAGGGCAGUAAGUUAGUACCUUGCUGUUUUGACGUUACCAACAGAAUAAGCACCGGCUAACUACGUG